rnacentral:lncRNA from 1 species
GUGGACAAGUGGCUCACCUGAAAACCCUCUCUGCAUCAUUACUGUUGCUUGUGCUGUCCAGACUGAAAUUCAUGCAGGUUGCUCAGUCAUAGGGAGUCUGGGGAGAAGCAGUCACAAUUCCACUGCUGAGGACCACCAAGGGAAGAUGACAACACAGAAUAUUCAACAGCUGUAUUAAAGUGCUGUAUGAGAGCUGUGUUUUAUUGCUAAAGCAGUGCACGGGGCAGAUGAAGAAAGAGCCCGUCUUACACGUUAUCUGAUGCCGUCUUUGCAGAGCAGAGCCGGUGUGAACGCAACAGGAAAGACUUUUGCCAUCUGAACCUCACCAUUGCCUUGGCGCACGCUUGGCCACCAUCGGCGCUGGCCCAGCAGCAGCACAGCUUUCCCGGGCAGCACUCGGGCUGGCACAAAUGAGCUCGGAGGGAAAGGGUCCCCACCAGAUCCCUCCCACUGGCACGGCCGCAGCACCUGACAGAUCUCCCUGGGGCAACUGAAGCCUCUGGAGCACCACACGAACCCACAGCUGAACCUGAGCUAAAAUCCUGUCCAAGAAAGAGGAAGGCUGCUGUGAGGCAAACUGAAUGAACCUCUGAAGAAAUGCCAGUGUGACUGGGAUUGACAGCGUGCCUGGGUGAGACCCACACAGCCAGCCUGUUGGACCAUACAGCCCUGUCAUCUUACGUGGCCUCAGAUGUGUGGAGACCUCACAGAUAUUUAUCCCCUUCACAUGCUUGGAAAAGAGAUGGAAAAGGGGCUUAUUAGAGCUUCCUGAAGGUUAUUUUACCCUGUGA